UGGCAGUCGAGCGGUAACAGGGGUAGCUUGCUACCCGCUGACGAGCGGCGGACGGGUGAGUAAUGCAUGGGAAUCUGCCCGAUAGUGGGGGAUAACUCGGGGAAACCCGAGCUAAUACCGCAUACGUCCUACGGGAGAAAGCAGGGGAUCUUCGGACCUUGCGCUAUCGGAUGAGCCCAUGUCGGAUUAGCUUGUUGGUGAGGUAACGGCUCACCAAGGCUGCGAUCCGUAGCUGGUCUGAGAGGAUGAUCAGCCACACCGGGACUGAGACACGGCCCGGACUCCUACGGGAGGCAGCAGUGGGGAAUAUUGGACAAUGGGGGAAACCCUGAUCCAGCCAUGCCGCGUGUGUGAAGAAGGCCUUCGGGUUGUAAAGCACUUUCAGUGGGGAAGAAUGCCUUGUGGUUAAUACCCGCGAGGAAGGACAUCACCCACAGAAGAAGCACCGGCUAACUCCGUGCCAGCAGCCGCGGUAAUACGGAGGGUGCAAGCGUUAAUCGGAAUUACUGGGCGUAAAGGGCGCGUAGGCGGCUUGCCAAGCCGGAUGUGAAAGCCCCGGGCUCAACCCGGGAACGGCAUUCGGAACUGGCAGGCUAGAGUGCAGGAGAGGAAGGUGGAAUUCCCGGUGUAGCGGUGAAAUGCGUAGAGAUCGGGAGGAAUACCAGUGGCGAAGGCGGCCUUCUGGACUGACACUGACGCUGAGGCGCGAAAGCGUGGGUAGCAAACAGGAUUAGAUACCCUGGUAGUCCACGCCGUAAACGAUGUCGACCAGCCGUUGGACCCCUUGAGGGUUUGGUGGCGCAGUUAACGCAAUAAGUCGACCGCCUGGGGAGUACGGCCGCAAGGCUAAAACUCAAAUGAAUUGACGGGGGCCCGCACAAGCGGUGGAGCAUGUGGUUUAAUUCGAUGCAACGCGAAGAACCUUACCUGCUCUUGACAUCCUGCGAAUCUCCCAGAGGAUGGGAGAGUGCCUUCGGGAGCGCAGAGACAGGUGCUGCAUGGCUGUCGUCAGCUCGUGUUGUGAAAUGUUGGGUUAAGUCCCGUAACGAGCGCAACCCCUAUCCCUUUUUGCCAGCGGUCCGGCCGGGAACUUCAGGG
rnacentral:rRNA from 1 species